UCAUUAGAUAACUUAAAUUCAAGUAAUGGUCUCUUAAACCAUAAAAUAGUAAAUUAGAACUUACUUCUAAUGAA
rnacentral:tRNA from 1 species